CUGCGGUGCCGGCCCGCACGCCCCGCGCGCCCGACCCUCGAAUUCCGACCUGGGCGGCACUGAAGGAGCCUCGCCCCGGCCCACCUGGGUGGCGAGCCCAUUGUCGGUGGCCCCAACGACCGGAGGGACGACACGCCCUCGCUACGUCGGGGGCCACUUUUCCCGUCCAGCCCCAGCCCCGGCAGGGGGGGCGCAGAACUUGGCGAUCUGAUGGAUUCUGAUACAAGCCCAGGUGCUUUGGAGAGGUUGACUCGGAGAUAAACAAGGACCUGGCGGUGCCUUCCCGCAAGGACUCUUGAAAGCCAGGGACAUGAGACUCCGCGGAGGUAGGUUUGCAGCCCCUCAUGCUCUGGAGCGACCGCCAUCACAGCCGAGGCACACAGUCCCACAGCUCCGGAAGGUUCCCUCCUGCCCUUUUUGUGGCCAAGCCCUCACCCGCCCCCAGCAACCAGUGACCUGUGCUUUGUCCCUGUGAACUUGAUGUUUUGUAGUGAAGUGAAAAGCCCACCCUGAGCGGCUCCGGCCAUGGCUGGUCUGAGGUCCGGCCGGCCCGCCUGCAUCAGGGCGGCGUUUGCUAGCACCAGGGCCGGCUUCCAGAAGAGGUGGAGGAACACACCCCAUCGCUUCAAGGCCAGUCACAAAAAGAAUCACAUGGACUUAAUUGAAGGUAUCUGGAGAGAGACUAUGCUGUUAGCUAUUUUAUUCCCUGUUUUGGGGACUCCGUGACAGCGUUGACUGUCCACAGAAGAAAUGAGCUCUCUCGGGAGGUUUUCACCACCCAGUCUCAGCACCUGUUGUCCGGGCGACGUGACCUGUAUUGUGCCUUCGCACGCACCGACGUCCAGGAGUCCAGGAGAGGUCCGCGUAGAAGAUCCUCUCUCCUCAAAAAUCCCAGACCGUCCCCUCAAAGCUGCCAGCUGGGGCCCUGCGUCCCCGGAGGCCGACGACGUGGACAUGUGGCCUGUCGAGGCCAGCGGCCCUGAGGCGCCAGGGUGGCCAGCCGGGCCGUCUGGAGCCCCAGAGGACCGGAGAAUGACGGAGGAGGGGUGGCCCAGGGCAGCCGGUCCCCUCCUCCCCGCCGCGGAGCCCUCUGAGCCCGGCAGACACACGCAGGGCAGGACCAGAGGGUCCCGGCCGCCUCCCAGACUUGGGAGUGAGAAGGACAAGGGGCCCAAGCUCAUCCUCUUUAAGAGGAAACUGGAACUCUUACUUGCAGAGCCCGAGAAAAGGAAGAGGAAGAAGCAGUAUGUGGCCUAGACCGAGGCAUGAACUGAGCACAAGCCUGGCGCCAGUGCCGGGUGGCUGCUGCCCACACGCCCCGGGACCCCCAGGACCAUGCUGUUCCCAAGUGCCAAUAAAGGGAAGCCCGAGGAGAAGAGCGCUCGUUCCUGCGGGUGGGCGGGGCGCCGGGGUGCGAGGUGGGUAACGGGGGGCUGGCCCGGGCACAGGCAUGCCGCUGUCCCGGCUCCGGGGCCCUCUGGCCUGUGUGCCAGCGCUGCUCGCUAAGGAUGAGUAGUGCCGUGGCCACUCUUCGGCCCGACCCUCCCGACUGGACGGUGAACGGGUGGUCCCAGAGGUGGGGAUCCC